UGUGCUAGAUCAGUAGCGCCUGGAAGACUC
rnacentral:piRNA from 1 species